UCCGAAUUGGUGUAGUGGCUAACAUUUGACGCUCUCAAGAUUUCCACAUAUCUUAGAACCGUCAAGCCCGGGGUUCGAUUCCCCGAUUCGGAG
rnacentral:tRNA from 1 species